GCCCUUGAAAGUGUAAGACGUAUGAGAAAUAUUCGAGCGCCGAGGGAACCUUAUAAAUGGCGUGGUAUUGCUGUGCUUUUGUGAGGUCCUGCAAUUGCAAAGCGAAAUGUAAAAGUUGGAUUAAAGGAAAUAAGUUCCCAAACUCACGCGCUACUGCUAACUAUAUUGGCUGCCGCACAUCCUGCUCUUGGGACUACUUAUAGGCAGUUUAUCGCACUCACCUUAUGCUGGCGCACAAAGCCGUCGUGUAUGCUGAACGCUAAGCUUGUCACUUUUUGUGUAAUUAUCAUUAGUGGACCGGUGAUGUCCAGCGAGUAGGAGCCAUAGUCGUAGAUCUGCCUAAUCAGAUGGAUGCACAACAGGUAUGUCAUGGCGACGAGCAUGACAUUUCUGCAAAUAUAGAAGAGGAGAAUGCAUACGUGUAUACAGAUGUACAUUUAUCCUUACCGCUGCACCACCCGCGGAUCCUGUGUACGUAUGACAAUGUAGCAAACGGAUGGAAGCCCAGCAAUAUGUAUGGCUUGUGGACCAAAGCAAAAGUAGCCAAAUGCCAAGCCCACAGUUAGCGCGAAAAUGUGACGCACAUGGGCUGAUACUCUGGAAGGAUGCAGUAUCGAGCGGAACAAGGAGGCCAGGAAGAGUGCACCGAUUUGACAUAUUAAAAAGUUAAUC